ACGAACGCUGGCGGCGUGCUUAACACAUGCAAGUCGAACGAGAUCCUUCGGGGUCUAGUGGCGAACGGGUGAGUAACACGUGAGCAACCUGCCCCUGGCUCUGGGAUAGCCUCCGGAAACGGGGAUUAAUACCGGACAUGACCUGCGCCUGCAUGGGCGCGGGUGGAAAGUUUUUCGGCCAGGGAGGGGCUCGCGGCCUAUCAGCUUGUUGGGGGGGGUAACGGCCCACCAAGGCGACGACGGGUAGCCGGCCUGAGAGGGCGACCGGCCACACUGGGACUGAGACACGGCCCAGACUCCUACGGGAGGCAGCAGUGGGGAAUAUUGCGCAAUGGGGGGAACCCUGACGCAGCGACGCCGCGUGCGGGAUGAAGGCCUUCGGGUUGUAAACCGCUUUCACCAGGGACGAAGCGGGAGUGACGGUACCUGGGGAAGAAGCGCCGGCUAACUACGUGCCAGCAGCCGCGGUAAUACGUAGGGCGCGAGCGUUGUCCGGAAUUAUUGGGCGUAAAGAGCUCGUAGGCGGCCUGUCGCGUCUGCUGUGAAAUCCCGGGGCUUAACCCCGGGCGUGCAGUGGAUACGGGCUGGCUGGAGGCAGGCAGGGGAGAACGGAAUUCCCGGUGUAGCGGUGAAAUGCGCAGAUAUCGGGAGGAACACCGGUGGCGAAGGCGGUUCUCUGGGCCUGUACUGACGCUGAGGAGCGAAAGCGUGGGGAGCGAACAGGAUUAGAUACCCUGGUAGUCCACGCCGUAAACGUUGGGCGCUAGGUGUGGGUCCCUUCCACGGGGUCUGUGCCGCAGCUAACGCAUUAAGCGCCCCGCCUGGGGAGUACGGCCGCAAGGCUAAAACUCAAAGGAAUUGACGGGGGCCCGCACAAGCGGCGGAGCAUGUUGCUUAAUUCGACGCAACGCGAAGAACCUUACCAAGGUUUGACAUGGCCGGAAAACUCGUGGAGACACGGGGUCCUUCGGGGCCGGUCACAGGUGGUGCAUGGCUGUCGUCAGCUCGUGUCGUGAGAUGUUGGGUUAAGUCCCGCAACGAGCGCAACCCUCGUCCAAUGUUGCCAGCGGGUCAUGCCGGGGACUCAUUGGAGACUGCCGGGGUCAACUCGGAGGAAGGUGGGGAUGACGUCAAGUCAUCAUGCCCCUUAUGUCUUGGGCUGCAAACAUGCUACAAUGGCCGGUACAGAGGGCUGCGAGCCUGUGAGGGUGAGCGAAUCCCGGAAAGCCGGUCUCAGUUCGGAUCGGGGUCUGCGACUCGGCCCCGUGAAGCCGGAGUCGCUAGUAAUCGCGGAUCAGCAACGCCGCGGUGAAUACGUUCCCGGGCCUUGUACACACCGCCCGUCACGUCACGAAAGUUGGCAACACCCGAAGCCGGCGGCCUAACCCCGUACGGGGAGGGAGCUGUCGAAGGUGGGGUCGGCGAUUGGGACG
rnacentral:rRNA from 1 species